UAAGGUAGCGAAAUUCCUUGUCGGGUAAGUUCCGACCUGCACGAAUGGUGUAACGAUUUGGUCACUGUCUCAACCACGGGCUCGGUGAAAUUGUGGUACCGGUGAAGACGCCGGUUACCCGCACAUGGACGGAAAGACCCCGUGCACCUUUACUGCACCCUAGCAUUGGGUUCGGUCAAAACAUGUGUAGCAUAGGUGGGAGACUGCGAAGCCGGGGCGCUAGCUUCGGUGGAGUCGUCAGUGAAAUACCACCCUUGUUCUGAUUGAAUUCUAACCUUUCGCCAUGAAUCUGGCGAGGGAACAGUGUUAGGCGGGUAGUUUGACUGGGGCGGUCGCCUCCUAAAUUGUAACGGAGGCUCUCAAUGGUUCCCUCAGCAUGGUCGGUAAUCAUGCGGCGAGUGUAAAGACAUAAGGGAGCUUAACUGCGAGACCUACAAGUCGAGCAGAUGCGAAAGCAGGACUUAGUGAUCCGUUGGCUUCGAGUGGAAGAGCCAACGCUCAAAGGAUAAAAGGUACGCCGGGGAUAACAGGCUGAUCUUGCCCAAGAGUUCAUAUCGACGGCAAGGUUUGGCACCUCGAUGUCGGUUCAUCGCAUCCUGGGGCUGGAGAAGGUCCCAAGGGUUUGGCUGUUCGCCAAUUAAAGCGGUACGUGAACUGGGUUCAGAACGUCGUGAGACAGUUCGGUCCCUAUCCUGUGCGGGCGUAGGAAACUUGAUGGGUGUCGCUCCUAGUACGAGAGGACCAGAGUGAACGGACCGACGGUGAAUGAGUUGUCACGCCAGUGGCAUUGCUCAGUAGCCAUGUCCGGAUGGGAUAAGCACUGAAAGCAUCUAAGUGCGAAACCCGCCCAAAGAUGAGGUUUCCCUCCCGAUUUAUCGGGAUAAGACCCCAAGGAGAUUACUUGGUUGAUAGGCCGUAGAUAGAAGCAUAGUAAUAUGUUCAGUCGAGCGGUACUAAUAGGUCGAUAGGCUUAAUCUU
rnacentral:rRNA from 1 species